UAAAUACACAGUAUAUACACAGUGAGUAUUAGUCUGUAACUAAAGAAAACAAUUUAAUGUGUGAGUGUACUGUCAUAAUAACUGUUAUCUCUGUUCCUUUCGCACUUUAGCUUGAAGUUGAUUCAACAGAAAUAAACAGAGAUGAUGAGGUGGAUGAGGUGGAUGAGGAGGAGGAUGAAGAGGAAGAGGCAUCAGGAGAUGAAGAUGAAGAAGAAAGGUCAUUACCCGGCGAACCUGACGAGGAGGUUUCCACAGCAACCAGAGCCAAGCAGCUGGCUGAGCGUCUGAAGACCAAAGCUCGGAAAGCUCUGCGGGACCUGGGGAAAAUCUUGGCCAUCAGCUUGCUGGCUUUGGCUGGCAUCACACUGCCCUCUGCCUUCUCAGCCAUCUACUUCGUGCUUUU